GAUGAAGGGCGUACUUGUCGUGGUCGCAGUAGCGGCGUUGGUACUCUUUGGGRUGUUUAUUYAAGAUAGCCAAGCGUUAUUAAAUGGACCUUUUUUACCAACAACAACAGGAACGGGCAAGAGAUCGAUAAGGAGAAAUAAUCCAUCGGCUUACAAACACAAGAAAACUGAAGAACUUGAUCUUCAAAAUAUUUGUGAAACAGCGAAAAUAUUGGGAUGCAAUAAUAAAUGAUAUAAUAUCAGUCUACGAUGCUGAUAAAUAGCGAACGGACAAUAUAAGUUAUUAUUAUGUUAUAGACGUCUUAAGAGAAUUAUUAAAUAAAUCUGUUUAUACUUACA